UGGGAAGAGGGAUGCUCAAUCUCCAGUCGUGACCCAGCCGCAGAGGAAGCAAAAUGUGACUGCCUUGCCGAAAAAGGAUACAAAGAUGCCAGACCUGGAGUCCAAGGUACCUGCAUAGCCAUUGAUUGUGUUGCUGGCUGGUGGGACUACUGACUGGGAAACCGGAGAGAGCCCACGGAAUGGUAAUUGAUAAGGAAGGAGUUGGAGCAGAUACCGACGCUCUUGCUGUUUUCAGAGAUAAAAGACCAAUAGUCAGAGACCGUCAUCUGGAUAAAAGUCGGUGUGAGGGGAUGCGACUGAGGUGGCAGGGAGCUUGAAGGAGCAGGCUCCUCAGACAUCUGGAAGCUGGAAAAGGACACCCAGGGGAAAGGAUGAAUUGGAAAAGAAAGCUUCAGAAAUAAAGGACUUCUUCAAAGGAUGUCGCGGGCAAAGAGCAGCCGUGUUGGGGGUUACCUGGAAAAGAAAACCCAGAAGCUGAGAAAUCAAAGGGAGACAGGC